rnacentral:rRNA from 1 species
GAUGCAGCCAUGCCGCGUGUAUGAAGAAGGCCUUAGGGUUGUAAAGUACUUUCAGUCGGGAGGAAGGCGUUGAUGCUAAUAUCAUCAACGAUUGACGUUACCGACAGAAGAAGCACCGGCUAACUCCGUGCCAGCAGCCGCGGUAAUACGGAGGGUGCAAGCGUUAAUCGGAAUUACUGGGCGUAAAGCGCACGCAGGCGGUUGAUUAAGUGAGAUGUGAAAUCCCCGGGCUUAACCUGGGAAUGGCAUCUAAGACUGGUCAGCUAGAGUCUUGUAGAGGGGGGUAGAAUUCCAUGUGUAGCGGUGAAAUGCGUAGAGAUGUGGAGGAAUACCGGUGGCGAAGGCGGCCCCCUGGACAAAGACUGACGCUCAGGUGCGAA